AUGUGCACUCGCAAAAGAGAGGGUGGAAUGGGGUUUAGGUAUUUUGAGUUGUUCAACCAAGCGCUCCUAGCAAAGCAAGUGUGGAGAAUCCUCAUGGUGCUCGGGUCUCUAUGCGCGAGGGUGUUGAAGGCACGGUAUUUUCAAGACAUGGACAUCAUGUCAGCCACAUGCCCGAAAGGAGCCUCAUAUACAUGGCGAAGUUUGAUUCAUGGCAGGGAUCUGUAA
rnacentral:rRNA from 1 species